rnacentral:rRNA from 1 species
CUGCCCUGCGACGGUCGUGUAGCAGAGGGGUUUUACUCUCUCGCGGCGUGCAAAAGGUCGGUGACCCACCCGACCCGUCUUGAAACACGGACCAAGGAGUCUAACAUGUGUGCGAGUCAUUGGGCGCACUAAACCCAGAGGCGCAAUGAAAGUGAAAGGUGGGCGUCCCGGGGUCCUCGUGGCCUCGUUGCGGCGCCCUCCGGGGCMGAUCCCUGAGCGGCMGACGCCGCCGUGGUUACAACCCAUUCCAAAUUUGUGCCGUUUAGGCGGUGCGUGCGGGGUGAGUCCCUUUCCCCCGCCGCAUCGCUGGCMCUUUGGGUGCCCGGCGCGCUCGGCGUUCCGGCGUUUACGCGUCGCCUGUACRCAGGGGGGCGCAGGCCCGGGACUUGCCMUUCGACGCCGUCGCGCGAAUCUGUUGUUGGUCACUUUGGCUUUGCUUGGGCUCUCGGUUGGCGUGCCGCGUGUCUUUGGGCGGGCUUUGGGUGGGGGACUAUGUCUCUCUCUCGGGCUCGUCCGGCGCGGUGGCGCUCUCCGAUCCUGCUCUGUCCGGGGUGGCCUAGCGCGCGUGCUGUCGGCAAGUACCAUGAGCAGACAUGUUGGGACCCGAAAGAUGGUGAACUAUGCCUGGCCAGGAUGAAGCCAGAG